UACGGAGGGGGCGAGCGUUAUUCGGAAUUAUUGGGCGUAAAGGGCGCGUAGGCGGCUUGACAAGUCAAAGGUGAAAUCCCUCGGCUCAACUGAGGAACUGCCUUUGAAACUGUCUGGCUUGAGGCCGGGAGGGGGUAGCGGAAUUCCCAGUGUAGCGGUGAAAUGCGUAGAUAUCAGGAGGAACACCGAUGGCGAAGGCAGCUCGCUGGGACGGUACUGACGCUGAGGCGCGAAAGCGUGGGGAGCAAACAGG
rnacentral:rRNA from 1 species